AUGAAUGAAAAUCUGUUAACUUCAUUUAUUGCCCCAACAAUUUUAGGUCUACCUGCUGUAGUGCCAAUCAUCUUAUUUCCCUCCAUACUAAUUCCAAUGUCCAAGCACCUUAUCGACAAUUGGCUAAUUGCUAUUCAGCAAUGAUUAGUUCAACUUAUCCUAAAACAAAUAAUAAUAAUGCAUAGUGUUAAAGGACGAACCUGAUCCCUUAUACUAAUAUCCCUAAUUAUCUUUAUUACCACAACGAAUCUCCUCAGAUUCUUGCCUCACUCAUUUACACCAACCACUCAGUUAUCUAUAAAUCUAGCCACAGCAAUCCCCCUAUGGGCAGGAACAGUAAUUACAGGCUUUCGCUUUAAAACCAAAAACUCCUUGGCUCACUUUUUACCACAAGGCACGCCCACACCCCUUAUCCCCAUACUAGUAGUCAUUGAAACCAUUAGCCUAUUUAUUCAACCAAUAGCCCUGGCUGUAUGCCUAACGCUAAUAUCACAGCAGGCUACCUACUUGUGCACCUGAUUGGAAGUGCCACACUAGCACUAUGAACCAUUAGUCUCCCCACAACUUCGAUUGUCUUUAUAAUUUUAAUCCUAUUGACUAUCCUCGAGAUCGCUGUUGCCCUAAUCCAAGCCUAUGUUUUUACACUCUUAAUAAGCCUCUACUUACAUGACAACACUUAAUGACCCACCAAUCACAUGCCUACCACAUAGUUAAACCCAGUCCCUGACCUCUAACAGGGGCCCUUUCAGCCCUCCUAAUAACGUCUGACUUGGCCAUAUGAUUUCACUUCUACUCUGCCACCCUGCUAACACUAGGCCUACUAAUCAACACACUAAUCCAUAUAUCAAUGAUGGCAUGACAUGGUCCGAGAGACCACAUACCAAGGCCAUCACACAGUACCUGUCCAAGAAGGCCUCCAAUACAGAAUAGUUUUAUUCAUUAUUUCAGAAGUCUC